rnacentral:lncRNA from 1 species
AAGGGGGGAUUCGCCGCAGGCUGAGAGACAGAGACCUCCUCAGGAAGAGGAAGGCUGAGGCACAAGAGAAAGCAACUAACCAGUGGGUUUAUGGGUAAAUCUUUAUAGUAGAGCAUAAUUUAAUUAUCAGUCUUGACAGCUUUAGAGAUCUAGACUGCUUUUGGAACCAUUGGUUAGAUGCCUUUUGUCUUUAUUGAAUGAAGCUAGUUGUUAUCUUAAAAAAGGUCUAAAUAUUUAUAAUCUGGAGAGACUUUUUCUAGACUCAGUCUAUUGUGAGGUCACCUACUGUAUGUUUUUACUGUUAGGGCCCAGAGUAGAAGAAAGCGAGAGAGCCGAGAAGAGAGCGCAGAGGUAAGAAGGGGCGGCCCAGGAAGAUUAAUCCUCCAUUGGAGGCACCAGGGCCUCAGGACGAGAUCCCUUUUGUAGAUGUGGUCCCUGCCCCAGAGGUUGAGACUGAGCCUUUGCCCACCAUUCAUGAAAUGCCUCCAAAAUUUGUGGAGCCCCAGUUUGUUUCUGCCGCCAUUGCUUUCUCUGUGCCAUCUCCGGGUCCACUCCCGGCCUCUAUUUCUGCCCCGGCUCUGGUCCCGGUUCCUGCCCCGGCCUCUGUUUCUGCUCCAGCUCCAGCCUCUGUUGCUGCCCAGGCCCUGGUCCCGGUUCCAGCCCUCUCUGUUCCUGCAGCAACAGCAAGUAGUGGGUCUGCAGAGGAAGUCCUGAUUGAAGACUUGGGGCCAGAUGAGGAAGAGGACCUUCCUCAAGGGGAUCUGAUCAUUGACCAGGGCGCGAGUGAAGAGCCGCCAGCUGAUGUGCCUGAACAGAAUAAGAUGUUUUCAUACCCACUGUUUGUUUCCCCACCACCUCAGUCGGAAUACCUUCCAGGAAAUUUCAUAUAAUGCAGUAUUUCUUUUCAUCCAUACAUAUCAAAUUAAGCUAUACAAAAGACAAACAAAAUGCCUGUUAAUAAAGUAGACAAAUGUUGUGAAACA